AUGGGCACACUUCGAGACCUUCAGUUCGCCUUGCAGCUAAAGAUCGAGGAGCUCCGUCAGAGGGACACUCUGAUAGAUGAGCUGGAGUUGGAACUCGAUACCAAGGACGAACUCAUUCGGAGACUUCAGGAAGAACUGGAUCGCUAUAGAGCCUCUGUUCUCCUGCCGGGACCCUCUGCAGCCAGCGCCGCAUGCUCGGCUCAAGGUGAUGACCACCUGCGUAUCACGAACAGAAAUACAGUCAUUUCAGAGUCCUUUACUCCGGAUUCUAUGAAUCCUGCUACCUUUUGUGACAAAAACCAGGAAUGUCAGAAGUUGAUUCAGGUCGCAUUUUUGAAGAGCAACUUGUUGAGCAACCUCGAUGAAGAUGAAACGAGAGCCGUCACGGCCUGCAUGCAUCUCACGGCCGUCCAUCACAGCUGCUGCGUGAUUCAGGAGGGAAGCAGCGGCUCGCAGGCUUAUGUUGUGCAGGAGGGGAGGCUGGACGUGACGAAAGAUGGACAGAAAUUGCUCACAAUCGAAGCAGGUGAAAUGUUUGGGGAGGUGGCGCUGCUUUACAACUGCACACAAAUCUACUCCGUCACAGCGCAGUCGGACAGCAAGAUGUGGGUUCUCGAGCGCAAGAGUUACCAGACGGUGCUCAUGCGGAGCGGCCGCGAGAGGCUCGCGCGUACGUCAGAGCUGCUGAGCGGUGUUCCCUCUCUGCUGGCCUUGCCAAAGGAUGCCAUCAUGAAGAUGUGUGAUCUCAUGGAGGAGGCUCGCUACUCUCAAGGCGACUACAUCUUUCGACAGGGCGCCUCAGGGGACACCUUUUAUAUCGUUAACAAAGGCCAGGUGAAAGUCACAGAAAAGAAGCCAGGAGAUGAGGAGCGGGUCCUCUCCAAGCUCUCGGAGAGGCACUGGUUUGGAGAAAAAGCUUUGUGGGGAGAGGACGUGCGUGGAGUGAAUGUGAUCGCGGCUACUGAUGUGACGUGUCUGCUCAUUGACAGAGAAACAUUCAGGGAUAUCAUUGGAGGUAUGGUGUUUGACAGCAGUCAAGAGGUGCCACAAAACACUGAUUGCAAACAUGACUCAGAAGUCAAGGAUGGUGCCUCCCUCCUAUCGUCGACCUUAAGUGAUUUCCAGAUAAUAAGCACUUUGGGAGAAGGGCAGUUUGGACACACGGAUCUGGUGCAACUCAAGAGCAACGGUCAGGGUCUUUACGCCAUGAGGGUCUUCGAUAAAAAGGCGAUUGUCCACAACGGCCUGCGAGAGCACGUUCUGAGAGAACGAAACAUCCUCAUGGAUUCCGCAUGUCCAUUCCUAGUCAGGUUGCACAAAACCUUUCAAGAUGCAAAGCGCAUCUAUUUGCUGACAGAGGCUUGUCUCCAUGGUGAUCUUUACAGCUUGAUCAAAGAAAAAGGCUGUCUGGACGAGAGCAGCACCAAGUUCUACGCGGCUUGCGUGACGCAGGCGUUGACCUUCCUUCACGCUCGAAAUGUUGUCUACAGAGACAUCAAGCCUGAAAAUGUUGUUCUGGAUGAGCGAGGAUAUGCCAAACUGGUGGGUUCGAGGUGUUUAAAAAAGAUGGAAAUGGGUAAAAAGACCUACACGUUCUGUGGCACUCCAGGCUACAUGGCCCCGGAAGUCAUUUUCAACAAAGGCCACAGCGUAGCUGCAGACCUCUGGUCUUUGGGUGUUUUUGUGUUUGAGCUCCUGACUGGUGGGAUUAGAAGACAAUAAAGGCACCAUUGCAGUAUUUUGCAUCCAUCCAUCCAUCCAUUUUCUUGACCGCUUAUCCUCAUGAGGGUCACUGGAGUGCUGGAGCCUAUCCCAGCUGUCAGUAGGCAGGAGGCGGGGUACACCCUGAACUGGUUGCCAGCCAAUCAUACAAUCACACCCAGUGGCAAUUUAGAGUGUCGAAUUGACGUUGCAUGUUUUUGGGAUGUGGGAGGAAACCGGAGUGCUCGGAGAAAACCCACGCCUGCACGGGGAGAACAUGGAGACUCCACGCAGGCGGGCCGGGAUCGAACCCUGGACCUCAGAACUGUGAGGCUAACAAUUUACAGCUGAGACACCGAUGACACGCGCAAUUAUGACUAAAAAUAAUAAUGAAAAAGAGAAGCGAGGACUUACCUUAGGUCUACCCAGGCCAGACCAGUUAGCUUGAUGCUCACAAUUUUUUUUUGUCUUCGUCGAUAGGGCUGAAAAACUUUUAGGAACAGAGUUUGUGUAUGUUAACACCAACACAACUUCAACUUUAUAAUUGCUCCUAUUCAAAAUACUGUACCGUCGGCUUGUUCCACUGUUAGAUGUUGAACUGUGUCACGAGCAAAGUUGGACCACGGUCAAGAGGGACGUGGCCUGGCCACCGCUCCAAGCGGUUUCAUCUCUAACACCUGUCAUUGGUCACAGCUGUGUUACACAAGGCACUGUGAUUAGAAAAUGUAUUUAAGUAGGAGUUUUGUCACUGGUUUUUGCCAGUUCGUUGAGUAUGCUUUCCCGCAUGCAGGGUUACUCCGCCACUGCACCAUUAUAGUCCAGUUAUGCUCUUUAGUUGACUCAUAGUUAUCGGACAUUGUUUCUUGUGCUUUGGAUCCUGCCUUCUAGGACUGUGUUGUCGUGCACAACUUUCGUUUAUAAUAAAACCCACUGAACAUCAUGUCCUCGUCUUGGGGUCCUGCAUUUGGGUCCGCCCGUGCACCGUUGGUUCGUGACAGAACUGUACCAGUGACAGACCGCUUGUGUCUCCAGGCUUCCGUUCGGCGGCGUUGACCCAAUGAGGGUCCUCAGCGAGACCGUGCGUGGCAUUGAUAACAUCGACUUCCCGAAAGCAAUCAGCAAGAGUGCCUCCAGUCUCAUAAAGAAGCUGUGCAGGCAAAAUCCCUCGGAGAGGCUCGGCA